AAAGGGGUGAAUACAUAUGCACACACUACUUUUCAGUUUUUUCACUUCACCAAUUUGAACUAUUUGGUGUAUAUUCAUUAUAUGAAAUCCAAAUAAUAAUACAUUGAACACUGACAUUUUUUGAUGUAGGGCCUGUGCACCACUUUCUUAAUUCUCCAGCUGGUAGUUAAGAAUGCAUACAAGAAGAUUAUCUUUCAGUCAACUUUCAACCAUUGUCUUCAUCUUACUGAAUUGUUUUCACCGAAGUGUCAUUCGUGAAAUUGUUCUGCCAUCACAAGAUGCUGCCUUGUACUCAAAGAUGGUCCUUCAUCUUCACUGGACUAUGGACACCCAGACCCUCUGAGCAAAAGGCAGGAUUUGACCCCCUUUUUACCUCGUUACCGACAAGGUUUUCCUCUCUGCUACAGUUCUGCCCGCUCUGAUCUCUGGUCCCUGUCUCCAGUCCCACGUCUCCUCAUCCUGCUACUCUGGCCUGGAUUCCCCACUCUACUGCUCCCUUGGAUUCCCCUCUGGACCUGCUUACC